UAUUUUAAAUUAAAAAUAUUUUUUCAAACAGCGCUGAGAACACUGAAAUAUGUGAAAUUACAAUAUAUUCUAAAACGAUUACCUAAGAAAAUUAGGGGAUGUCAUCCACGUUUGUCUCAAAGGAAUUCAGAUUUAUGAUUCAUCUUAAGAAAUGUGAAAAGAACACAUUAAAUAUAAAGAUGGAUAAAGGAAUUUAUUAAUAUACACAGUAACUUUUGUUCUUUUAAAGCAAUGAUUCGGGCCUCCUGGGCCCAGCUCAGGUCCUGGCCCAAAAAGUCCCUGGAACAGAGCCCUUGCUUUUGUCCCUGCCUCCCGGGUGAUUGAGGAGUAGAAAAGGAACCUACAUUCCUCAUCCUUGGUGUGAAUUUCCACGCUCCCCACCGGCCAACUGUGGCAAUUCACAUUGUAGUUCUGACAAUAAAUGGCCCGUUCUGACUGGGCUGGUGGGGGUCCUGGUCCAGCCACCUCCAGCCAGGGGUCCCUGGGUCGUGAAGGCGCCACGACCUGCUCCACUCAAGAUGUGCAGCUCCACCCACUCACGCUAGAGAGGAAGAAGAACUUCUGCCAUAAACUUUUGUUGUUAUUGUUUUGUUUGGUUUGGUUUGAGACGGGGUCUCGUUCUGUUGCUCCGCCUGGAGUGCAGUGGCCCCAUCACGGCUCACUGCAGCCUCGACCUCCUGGGCUCGAGUGAUUCUCAUGCUUCAGCCUCUGGAGGAGCUGGGGCCACAGGCACCCACCACCACACCUGGCUAAGUUUUUGUAUUUUUGUAGAAACAAGGUCUCGCUCUGUUGCCCAGGCUCGUCUCAAACUCCGCCCACCUCAGCCUCCCAAAGUGCUGGGAUUCCAGGUGCGAGCCACCGCACCCAGCCUCCUAAACUGUUUUUAAUUUGUGCAGAAUGAACCGGGUCAUCAACCACUGUAAGUGGUCUGACUACCCUGACCAUAAAAUGUCGGAAACACUCAACUUGCAACUGGUGGAAGCAGCCUAGCCCCACUGCACGUAAAACACUCGCGUUGUGGCAAACGCGGAGACCAAGGCUGCACUGGCCGGAAGUGGGGACAGAUCCCGAUACGCCCUGGGGACAGAGCAGGGAUGCUGAGGCCUGGUCCACACUGGCUCUGCCCUCUUUCUGGCCCACUACCCCAUCCUGAGACCGCAGGUUCCGGCGGACCCGGAUGCAGGUUUUCCGGAUGAAAGGCCCCUUUCCUGGAGUGGACUUUGAUAUUUUCUGUUCACAACUCCGUGUCACCAUCCUCCACACCUAGGAUCUGGCGUCUGGUGUCACUGCCGACGUCACAAUCCCCGCACCUACGUGUCUCAGCCGCAGUAGCCCUACGUCGCUGUCAGACACUGGGAGCCAAACUCCCUUCAUUCCAACUUCCACCAAAACCACUUCUCUGGAUCCAUCCCUGGAGUUGACACAACAGGGAUCUUCAGCCCCAGGUGCCAGGUUUCUCAGUGAUCCAUUACACAGAUUUAACAGGGAAAUGGGGGCAGUAUCAAAAACACCCAGUAUAAACCAUUGAAUUACCCCAGCCCUUGUCUCUGCCCAUGAACAACUGCCUGGGGCCAGAGAAUUAGGCAUCCCUGCUCUUCUUUCCCUCAGAAAGCCCUUGAGACGUUCUCCUUGAAGCUCCCCUAGGUGGGAGUAGAAGUUCAUCUCCUGACACUCCACGUUUUAUUCAUGAGUCCUGAGUUAUGACACAGAGGACACAGUUGUGCUCCCCUUACUAUGGACUAGCAGAUAAAGCACCUUAACCACUCAGCCACCAUGCAAACCCUUCUUAUAUUUGAUUCAAUAUACUUUUCCGCAAGCAAAAUAAAAGUUCUGACCAAGGAGGCGUCGUCUGAUUUGACUCUAGAACUUGGAAAUGCAUUGGCUUUUAGCAAAUCUCAGUACUGAAUGUAAACUUCAAGGAGAAAUGGUUCCAGGAAAUAAAUUGGGAUGACAUUGAACUUUUAGCAAACUGCAAAAUCCUGAAACCAUGGACUUACUGAGGCCAAUUAAAUGGGCUAAUUCAUGGGUGGAAGUGGUACAUCCUAAAAAUUCUCCACAAGUGAUUCUACACUGAAGCCAGGGUUUUUGUCAAGUACUGUGUGAGGAUGAGGAUGGCCAUCUGCUUGGCAAGCCAUCUGGUCCAGGCAGGGCUCACAUUAUUGUUCACAGUUUAACCUAUUUAAUUAAAUAGUAAUUUUCCCCCAAAUCUUAUAUGACAUAAGCUGUAGUCCUGAGCCACAUUAAGAUGUACUAUUUAUGCAGUAAAAUUGUAUGGGAUUUGACAAAUGCAUAGCAGCAGUUUUCCAGCAUUAAAGUAUCACAGAACCCUUCUCUUAUUCAAGCUCCUCUUCCGUCCACAUACAGGGAAUCAAUCGCCUUUUGUAUAUGGUCCUUGGACGUUGCUUCUUUAUUUCAGUUAUCUUCCAUCAAAGCAAAUGAUACCGUGCUCUAUUUUCAUUUGAUCCUCCAAAAGAAAGGUACUGAAUAAUCUAAACCAGAAUUUCAGCCAUUCAGAGACUUAGGUCCAUCGCUAAGCGGUAGAAGCCAAGCCUCUUGCGCUGCAACCCCAUGGCCGGCAGAGGGCGAGGGAACACGCCGUCCCGCCCUCCGGGGCGCAUGCGCUUUCUGCCUGCGGAGGCGGGGCUGGGUCUCCAGGAAGUACGUGAGUUUCCUUUCCUCUGGUCAGGGAGGAGGCGCCGCCCUGGCUUUGGGGCAACUAAGGCGAUGUCCAUCAGGAGGAAAACUUCCUGUCCGCAGCCCUAACUGCUGAGAAGGGAGAUUCGCUGCAGAGUAUCCCGGAUAUUUUUCUGAAACAGCCAUAAAGACUUCAUUUUCAGGGCUGUUGCCACGUGUUUUAUUCUGUAUUUUCUGUUGGGAUACUUUAGCAUUAUUUUACAAAUGUAUAAAUUUGGGGUUAGGGAGGGCUUUCUGAUAGAUAAUAGAAGCAGGCUGUAACAUGUCCUCCCUGUGACCUCAUUGAGGAUUGAUUGUGAGGAGAAACAAG
rnacentral:lncRNA from 1 species